rnacentral:rRNA from 1 species
UGCCUUUUGGUGGGGGACAACAGUUGGAAACGACUGCUAAUACCGCAUAAUGUCUACGGACCAAAGUGGGGGACCUUCGGNANCUCACGCCAAAAGAUUAGCCCAAGUGGGAUUANCUAGUUGGUAAGGUAAUGGCUUACCAAGGCAACGAUCCCUAGCUGGUUUGAGAGGAUGANCAGCCACACUGGGACUGAGACACGGCCCAGACUCCUACGGGAGGCAGCAGUGGGGAAUAUUGCACAAUGGGCGCAAGCCUGAUGCAGCCAUGCCGCGUGUGUGAAGAAGGCCUUCGGGUUGUAAAGCACUUUCAGUAAGGAGGAAAGGGUAGUCUUUAAUAGAGGCUAUCUGUGACGUUACUUACAGAAGAAGCACCGGCUAACUCCGUGCCAGCAGCCGCGGUAAUACGGAGGGUGCGAGCGUUAAUCGGAAUUACUGGGCGUAAAGCGUACGCAGGCGGUUUGUUAAGCGAGAUGUGAAAGCCCCGGGCUCAACCUGGGAACUGCAUUUCGAACUGGCAAACUAGAGUGUGAUAGAGGGUGGUAGAAUUUCA